rnacentral:rRNA from 1 species
AUACGGAGGGUGCAAGCGUUAAUCGGAAUUACUGGGCGUAAAGAGCAUGUAGGCGGAUUGAUUAGUCAGAGGUGAAAGCCCCGAGCUCAACUUGGGAAUUGCCUUUGAUACUGUCAAUCUAGAGACCGAGAGAGGUGAGUGGAAUUCCCAGUGUAGAGGUGAAAUUCGUAGAUAUUGGGAAGAACACCAGUGGCGAAGGCGGCUCACUGGCUCGGUACUGACGCUGAGAUGCGAAAGCGUGGGGAGCGAACAGGAUUAGAUACCCUAGUAGUCC